rnacentral:lncRNA from 1 species
CAAGUAGGUGGAUGUCGUACAGACUGUGUGAGGGUUCCGACAUGCCAGUCGUACAGACCAUUAGAGGGGUUCCGACUGGUGGGUGACAUUAGAUAUGCGCGCUGAUGAUUGAUGUGAGAAGCACUAGAGCGUAUCUUUACACCUUUCAGCGUACAGACUACCUUACGUAGUUCCGUGUGAUGUGCAGAAUAGGGCCGUAUAGGUCACUGUGGUGACUCCGGCUGAGGGGAUUAUUGAGCUAUUGAAUUGAUCGUACAGGACCAACUGCAGGGUCUCCGAUUGAUUCCCUAUUUCCACCUGAUUAUAAUUUGAUUUAUGGCAUGACAUCUUUUCUUGAAAA